rnacentral:lncRNA from 1 species
AUGCUACAUGUUUCAUCAUUAGAUGCUACAGUCCUUCAACAAUGGAUGUCAUAUGAAUCUUUACCACUUGGAUCUGUAAUAGGAGUAGUAUUUUUCCUCGACUUACCUGUGUCCCCGCACAUUGACUCUGUUCCGGUACCUCCUGUAUAUACCCUCCACAUUGACUCUGUUCCGGUACCUCCUGUAUAUACCCUCCACAUUGACUCUGUUCCGGUACCUCCCAUAUAUACCCUCCACAUUGACUCUUUUCCGGUACCUCCUGUAUAUACCCUCCACAUCGACUCUGUUCCGGUACCUCCUGUAUAUAGCCUCCACAUUGACUCUGUACCGGUACCUCCUGUAUAUAGCCUCCACAUUGACUCUGUUCCGGUACCUCCUGUAUAUAGCCUCCACAUUGACUCUGUACUGGUACCUCCUGUAUAUACCCUCCACAUUGACUCUGUUCCGGUACCUCCUGUAUAUAGCCUCCACAUUGACUCUGUUCCGGUACCUCCUGUAUAUAGCCUCCACAUUGACUCUGUACCGGUAAUACCUGUAUAUGGCCUCCACAUUGACUCUGUACUGGUAAUACCUGUAUAUAGCCUCCACAUUGACUCUGUACUGGUAAUACCUGUAUAUACCCUCCACAUUGACUCUGUACUGGUAAUACCUGUAUAUAGCCUCCACAUUGACUCUGUACUGGUAAUACCUGUAUAUAGCCUCCACAUUGACUCUGUACUGGUACCUCCUGUAUAUAGCCUCCACAUUGACUCUGUACUGGUACCUCCUGUAUAUAGCCUCCACAUUGACUCUGUACUGGUAAUACCUGUCUACAGCCUCCACAUUGACUCUGUACUGGUACCUCCUGUAUAUAGCCUCCACAUUGACUCUGUACUGGUACCUCCUGUAUAUACCCUCCACAUUGACUCUGUACUGGUAAUACCUGUAUAUAGCCUCCACAUUGACUCUGUACUGGUAAUACCUGUAUAUAGCCUCCACAUUGACUCUGUACUGGUAAUACCUGUAUAUAGCCUCCACAUUGACUCUGUACUGGUAAUACCUGUAUAUAGCCUCCACAUUGACUCUGUACUGGUAAUACCUGUAUAUAGCCUCCACAUUGACUCUGUACCGGUAAUACCUGUAUACAGCCUCGCUACUGUUAUUUUACUGCUGCUCUUUAAUAUUAAUUAUUUGUAUUUUUAUACAUAA